UUAUGAUAAUAAAGAGUUAAUUAUACUUAAUUUUUAUCUAACAUAAGGAACUAAAUUCUGUGAUCGAUUGACAUCAUAAUAUACAAGGUAUCGCACGUUGUUACAUCUCGGUAGUUUUCUAGAAAGUCAAGAUCAGAUUAAUACCGAUAUAUUUCUUAUCAAUAUUGAUACUAUAUAUGGUAACAACGAGCCAACUACACUUAAUUAUUAUCAAAAAACUAAAUUCUAAUCGGCAAACAAUUAUAUACGAGAGGAAGCUACACUCUGUAUAUGAAGUUUUCCGGUAUUUUUGGUGAAAAUGGAGGCUUUAGAACUUUCUACAUGAAUCAACAAGGUGAUAGAAUGAGUUUAGCAGCAACGCAUUAUCACACAUUUGGGACUCGAAGAUUAUUUCCACUUUUGAAGGAUAAGAAGCAGAUAUUAUCUUUAAUCAAAAAACGGAUGAUGAGAUGCGCAAAAUUGAAAUAGUGCGAGUAAUAAGCUAUAAGGUGACACAUGAAUGGUUUUAUAAUGCAAUCGAUCCUAAGUGGGAACCCUGGUUAAGCAAAGGUCUUUCUACGUUCAUUGGAAUUUAUGCC